CUUAGCAACAUCGUGUAAACUCAACAGCCCCGUGUAGCAGGAGAUACCCGGAGGAUGUGCCUGCUGAAGCGCCGGCUUCCUUAAUAAGGACUACGUGCUCUGGAGUCAGAAAAACGUGCCGAAAACAAAAUCAAGCUAUGUGUCAUGACUGUCUGAAUUCCUUGCUGUCGAGCAAAGGAAGACAGCUGUGAGCUAAAAAUUAUCUGUAACUUCUCUUUUCUUUGCUGUGCCUCUUCCACACUUCACUACUGAAGCACCAGAUUGUGGAAGUGUUGCUCUUGAGAAUGCAGAGAAGAUAAAAGAAAUGCAUCAGUCAUACAAAGCUCUAGGAAAAAACAGCCAAACAUCACCAACAUCCAGUCCACGGCCAGAUCAACAAGUGGCAUGUUUUCCAAGUAAAAAAAAACAGUUAGCCUUACAGAUGAGACAUCACACUUCUUUACCUUUCUCCCUGAAGAAAAAGAAUGUAGGGCAUGGCUUUGACUUCAGCUUUCUGCAACAUGCCGCCUCAUGCCCAGAAUCUAAUGUUUCAAAAUCAUUUAUGGGUUUAAAUGCUUUCCAGAUAAUAAAACCACGAAUACAACAAAGGUUAAAUAUAGCAAUGCUAAAACCCAGGAACAACAACUCUAAGUUUCAUUUGCCACCAGUGAUGUGUCAGCCUGUAAGAACAAUUCAUCCUGCUCCUCCAGAGGAUACCAUUGUCAAUGGAAGGUCCCACAUCAGAAAUAUUUUGAAUAUCAUGAACCCUAUUCCUUGGCCUAUAAAAACAAUUACUAAAUUUUAUCAUUAUCAGUUAGACAAUCUAUUAAAAAGGCACACUGACAAGUCAUUGGACCCGAUUGUGGCUACUGUUUCUGAUGCGUUCACUCCGGUGAAAGACCUGCACUACUUCAGCAUGGGCAACUAUAACAAGUACCCUACCAACAAGAAAGAAGAAAUUCAAAGCAAUUUAAAAUGGAGGGAAGCUGGCGUAGCAACCCAUACUGAAAAGAAUGACAAGAUGAAGUACCAGCUUUUGGUGGCUUGUAAGAACAUAGAUCUUAUGACCCAAGACAGUUUCUAUGAUGAUAGUCAUCCCUACUUGAGCUCAAAUAAUGCUCUGAUAAACUGUGGAAUAUUUACAGCUCAGACAACAUUUGCAAUGUCAAGCAACAGAGAUGCCUCGAGAGCUGGCAGUGAGGAACGAAGAACAGAGAGUUGCUGUAGAUCUGAUCCAGAAGAAGGAAAUGCUACAGAGGUGAUAGUGAAUUACAGACGACAUGAAGAUCGCGAGAGUGCAAACUUUGUGCUUGACAAUCAUGAUUUAGAUUUUUCCUGUAAAAAUGAAGUGAUAGAGGCCUAUCAUGCCUUAGAAGAUAAUUCUGUAGUUGCAGGAAUUCCCAGAGUAGAAGUGCAAGUUCCUUCUGGAAAACAGACAGAAAAUCAUGUUUGUCUCUCUGAAUUUGAAAUGGAAAAAGAAGCAUUGUCAGAAGCAACUUCAAAAGACCAAAGUGAGCUUGUACCUGUUGUUCAUGUUACAUUCUCUGAACAAGACUCAGCUAGAGAGCCACACAUUGUUAAACAACCUCCCACAAAAAAGAGUGUAAUUCGUAGCCUGCCUCCUCAUGUUACUCAGAGCUUCAACAUUCUUGCUCGCAAAGAAAACGGCAAAAGUAAAAGGAAGAUGAAUAAACCCAAAUAUUCAUCAAAAUCUAAAAUGAGUAGCAAGAUAAAGAUUUCCGAAGACCUAAUUGUUUCUGAUGAGAUUUCCACAAAAUGUAAUGCCAAGAGUCACAUUUUUCCAUCUUUGGAAUUGCCACACAUGGAAUCUGAGACUUCCCCAAAGCAUCAAAAAAACCCCCCUCAUGCUGACACAGACCGUUUUGCUCAGAGUGCUCAAAAACUUAAAAAGCACGGUUUCCCCUGCAGUUGCAAAAAUUCAGUUAUCUUAAAGAAACCUGUUACUCCCCUUUCCCUGCCACAUGCACAAUCUGCUUCAGCUUUUGUAGAUCUGAAAUACAGUGACAUGUUCAAGAAAAUAAAUUCAAAUGACAAAGGCCCAGGUAUUUAUGAAAUGUUUGGAACUCCUGUCUAUGACCACAUGCGUGAGCUUGAUCAGCAUGAGAACAGAUUUUACAGAGAUGUUUGUUCUGCUCCAACUGGGAGAUGCACUGCUAGCAUCUGCAGAUCUACCUGCGGGAAAGGGAGAGAGGGCAGCCGAGUAAGAAAUACUCAAAAGAGAACAUGUUCUAAGCCAAAGAAGACCAUACCUGGCACAAAACAAAAGCAGAAGAGUUUAAUUACAAAGGACAGAAGUACCAAGUUGAGUGACAGCAACACAGAACAAGGUAAUGUAAUAAGUUCUGAUUCAGAUGUUCAGAUAAACACUUCAAGGAGCAUGAUAUUGCUCCGUGAAGACACAGAUCAUCAGCUUAUAUUUUUAGAAGAGCUUUCCCAGUCAACUAAGCAAAAUAUUUUUUUUUCAAAUUCAAACUUAUCAACUAUUAAAGAAGUUUCUUUGGAGCAGCCUCUAGACAGCCAGGAUAUACCCAGCCAACAGAGACCUGCUGCCUGUAGCCAGAAUCUUCUGCAGUUUAGUGAUAAAGACUACAAAGACUGUGUUCCUCUAACUAGCAGUCCACUAACAACAGACAAGAACAUUUGUGUGCUGCAGCAAAGUGUGGAUAUGAAUGGCUGCGAAGGCCUGGAAUCAGACCAGGCCUCCUUCAAGUCUAUAAAUGAAAGCGAAGCAUUGCCCUUUUUGUACAGGCUGCAGCAUCAGUCCCCUCCAAUACAGGUAAAUCAGAGUUGGUCAUACAGACCUCAAAAUUGUGGUUCAGCAGAUGAACUGACUCAGCCUUCAGUGAUUCAGACAAAAAAUGUUACAAGUCCCAGUUUCCAGACAAGUCAAAGCAUUUUGUCCUGGGCAGAUAAUGAGGAUAUGACUGAUGAGUUGCUUUGUUGUCUGGCUGAAGAAUUGCUAAUGCUUGAAGGAAAAGACAUCAACUGUUCAAGAACAAAAAACACAAGUUCUAAAAUGCAAAAUGUGCAUACUAAAGAAGAAGAAAAUACGAUGAAUGGAGAUGGAGCAAUAGUAAAUAGUGUUCUAGAGAAGCAGAGUUACAGUAAAGCCUUUUGGACAUCAAACGAAGAAAAUGGUCUACUAAGCUUUGAGGAACCUACUAAAUUACGAGGAAGCAGUUUAGUUAACAAAGAUCCUAUCAUGUGGACAAGAGGUGAAGUCCUUGGAAAGGGAGCCUAUGGCACGGUAUACUGUGGCCUGACAAGCCAGGGACAGCUAAUAGCUGUAAAACAGCUUGUUUUGGGUACGUCAGAUCAAGUCACAACAGAAAAGGAGUAUCAGAAGUUUCAUGAGGAAGUUGACCUUUUGAAGACAUUGAAGCAUAUCAAUAUUGUAACUUAUUUGGGAACUUGUCUGGAAGACAACAUUUUAAGCAUUUUCAUGGAGUUUGUUCCUGGUGGCUCGAUUUCUAGUAUUAUUCAUCGUUUUGGUCCAUUGCCAGAAAUUGUUCUUCGUAAAUAUACAAAGCAAAUUCUACAAGGAGUUGCAUACUUACAUGACAAUUGUGUGGUACACAGAGAUAUCAAAGGCAAUAAUGUUAUGCUUAUGCCAAAUGGCAUAGUAAAGCUAAUUGACUUUGGCUGUGCCCGGAGGUUAGCUUGGGUAAGCCUCAGUGGCACACAGAGCGAGAUGCUCAAGUCUGUGCAUGGGACUCCAUACUGGAUGGCACCAGAGGUUAUAAAUGAAUCUGGAUAUGGAAGAAAAUCAGACAUAUGGAGCAUCGGCUGUACUGUGUUUGAGAUGGCAACAGGAAAACCGCCACUGGCUUCCAUGGACAGGAUAGCAGCCAUGUUCUAUAUUGGGGCCCACAGAGGACUGAUGCCUUCCCUACCUGAUCGAUUCUCUGUCACUGCAGUGGAUUUUGUGCAUGCAUGCUUAACCAGAGAUCAGGACGAACGCCCCUCUGCUCUGCAGUUGCUGGAUCACCCCUUUGUGAAAGGAAGACAGUGAAUUUUUCAAGUCUCUUGCCAAAUGAGUAUGCAUUUUCCAUAUAAAACUAUCCACUUGGGAAAAAAGAUAAGAAGGAGCUGGACUUCCAAGUGACAACAGAAUUUACUAGAGAGCAAUUGUGCACAAGGAGUCCAUUAUUAGACAACAGAAUGACUAAAGUAAUGUUUUUUGCACUGUCUGUGCUCAUUGGAGUGGGUAUUCCUUUCCUGUGAACACGUUUGUUGUAUUUGGAGAGACUUCAAGAGAAAAAAACCACGCAUCACCAUGACCAGUAUGUUACAGGCCAGUUUCAGGUCACAGAAUGGUUGAGGUUGGCAGGAACCUCUGGAGAUGCUCUAUUCCAGUCCCACUGCUCAGAGCAGGGUUGACUGAAGGAGGCUGCUGAGGUCCUUGUCUCAUUGGCUUUGAAAGGAUGGAGACUCCACAACCUCUCUGAUGAACAUGUUCUUCAACCACCCUCACAGUAAGAACGUUUUAAUGUUUGUACAGACUGUCUUGUAUGUCAGGUUGUACCCAUUGCUUCUCCUCCUGACACUGUAAUGCUGAAGUUUGCUUUGUCUUCCUUGCAGCUCCCUCAGGUGUUAAUACACUUCAGUACAUAUUCCCCCUGAACCUAUUAUUUUUUCAUGGAGUGCCUUAUUUUCUGUGCUCAGUGUUGUGUUGCAAUUCUCACCCUUCUGUUUGCUGAUACAAGCAACAAAAGCAUAGGAACAUUGUCUUUCUUGGGUUUGUGAAGGCCGUGAAAAGCUGACUCGCUAGCCACUCAACUGCUAUUUUUCAGUAUCCUUAAUCUGAAAUAGAACAGCAAACUUGAUUCUGAGACUUGAACUGUUUAGAGAAACACAGGAGCAUGAUGUAAGUAGAUGACCCAGCAGUCUCCAUCUGCACUAUGAAAGUAAUUUUUACAGCUAGCAUAACUAAUUACCAACUGCACAAGAUUAAAUAGAAUUUGAAGAACAUUAUUAUAUACUAAUAAAAAAAUUUAUCAGGUA